AGGGCACCGCCAGGAGUGGAGCCUGCGGCUUAAUUUGACUCAACACGGGGAAACUUACCCGGCCUGGACACUGGAAGGAUUGACAGAUCGAGAGCUCUUUCUUGAUUCAGUGGGUGGUGGUGCAUGGCCGUUCUUAGUUGGUGGAGCGAUUUGUCUGGUUAAUUCCGAUAACGAACGAGACUCUAGCCUAUUAAAUAGGCUCUCGGCUUUUAAACGCCUGGAGGACUUCUUAGAGGGACAGGUGGCGGUUCAGCCGCACGAAAGAGAGCAAUAACAGGUCUGUGAUGCCCUUUGUUGUCCGGGGCCGCACGCGCGCUACACUGAAGAGAUCAGCGUGCUUUACGUUCCUGCUCCGACCGGAGUGGGGAACCCAGUGAACCUUCUUCGUGAUUGGGAUAGAAGAUUGUAAUUAUUCUUCUUGAACGAGGAAUUCCCAGUAAAUGCGAGUCAUAAGCUCGCGUUGAUUACGUCCCUGCCCUUUGUACACACCGCCCGUCGCUACUACCGAUUGAACGAUUU
rnacentral:rRNA from 1 species